CCUCGUAGACUCCUACGGGGAGGCAGCAGUGGGGAAUAUUGCACAAUGGGGCGCAAGCCUGAUGCAGCCAUGCGCGUGUAUGAAGAAGGCCUUCGGGUUGUAAAGUACUUUCAGCAGUGAGGAAGGUCGGGUAUGUUAAUAGCAUAUUCAUUUGACGUUAGCUGCAGAAGAAGCACCGGCUAACUCCCGUUGCCAGCAGCCGCGGUAAUACGGAGGGUGCGAGCGUUAAUCGGAAUUACUGGGCGUAAAGCGCAUGCAGGUGGUUUGUUAAGUCAGAUGUGAAAGCCCGGGGGCUCAACCUCGGAAUUGCAUUUGAAACUGGCAAACUAGAGUACUGUAGAAGGGGGGUAGAAUUUCAGGUGUAGCGGUGAAAUGCGUAGAGAUCUGAAGGAAUACCGGUGGCGAAGGCGGCCCCCUGGACAGAUACUGACACUCAGAUGCGAAAGCGUGGGGAGCAAACAGGAUUAGAUACCCUGGUAG
rnacentral:rRNA from 1 species